UACAGAGGGGGCCAGCGUUAUUCGGAAUUAUUGGGCGUAAAGGGCGCGUAGGCGGCCUGGCAAGUGACGGGUGAAAGCCCUCGGCUCAACCGAGGAACUGCCUGUCAUACUGCCGGGCUUGAGUCCGGGAGAGGUGAGUGGAAUUCCCAGUGUAGCGGUGAAAUGCGUAGAUAUUGGGAGGAACACCAGUGGCGAAGGCGGCUCACUGGACCGGAACUGACGCUGAGGCGCGAAAGCGUGGGGAGCAAACAGG
rnacentral:rRNA from 1 species